UACGUAGGUGGCAAGUGUUAUCCGGAUUUAUUGGGUGUAAAGGGCGUGUAGGCGGGAAUGCAAGUCAGAUGUGAAAACUAUGGGCUCAACCCAUAGCCUGCAUUUGAAACUGUAUUUCUUGAGUGCUGGAGAGGCAAUCGGAAUUCCGUGUGUAGCGGUGAAAUGCGUAGAUAUACGGAGGAACACCAGUGGCGAAGGCGGAUUGCUGGACAGUAACUGACGUUGAGGCACGAAAGUGUGGGGAGCAAACA
rnacentral:rRNA from 1 species